UGAGGAAUAUUGCGCAAUGGGGGCAACCCUGACGCAGCAACGCCGCGUGAGUGAGGAAGGUUUUCGGACCGUAAAGCUCUGUCGCGCGGGAAGAAAUGUAUCGUGGCUAAUAUCCAUGAUAUUUGCCGGUACCGCUAAAGGAAGCACCGGCUAACUCCGUGCCAGCAGCCGCGGUAAUACGGUGGGUGCAAGCGUUGUUCGGAAUUAUUGGGCGUAAAGCGCGCGUAGGCGGCUGAAUAAGUCAGAUGUGAAAUCCCUGGGCUUAACCCAGGAAGUGCAUUUGAAACUAUUCAGCUUGAGUAGGGGAGAGGAAAGUGGAAUUCCUGGUGUAGAGGUGAAAUUCGUAGAUAUCAGGAGGAACACCGGUGGCGAAGGCGACUUUCUGGCCCUAUACUGACGCUGAGACGCGAGAGCGUGGGUAGCAAACA
rnacentral:rRNA from 1 species